rnacentral:rRNA from 1 species
UACGGGAGGCAGCAGUGGGGAAUAUUGCACAAUGGGCGAAAGCCUGAUGCAGCUAUGCCGCGUGUAUGAAGAAGGCCUUAGGGUUGUAAAGUACUUUCAUCGGGGAGGAAAAAACAAAACUAAUAAUUUUAUUUCUUGACGUUACCCGAAAAAGAAGCACCGGCUAACUCCGUGCCAGCAGCCGCGGUAAUACGGAGGGUGCUAGCGUUAAUCAGAAUUACUGGGCGUAAAGAGCACGUAGGUGGUUUUUUUAAGUCAGAUGUGAAAUCCCUGGGCUUAACCUAGGAACUGCAUUUUGAAACUGAAAUACUAGAGUAUCGUAGAGGGAGGUAGAAUUCUAGGUGUAGCGGUGAAAUGCGUAGAUAUCUGGAGGAAUACCUGUGGCGAAAGCGGCCUCCUAAACGAAUACUGACACUGAGGGUGCGAAAAGCGUGGGGAGCAAAACAGGGAUUAGAUACC